UACGUAGGGUGCAAGCGUUAUCCGGAAUUAUUGGGCGUAAAGAGCUCGUAGGCGGUUUGUUGCGUCUGCUGUGAAAACUGGGGGCUCAACCCCCAGCCUGCAGUGGGUACGGGCAGACUAGAGUGCGGUAGGGGAGAUUGGAAUUCCUGGUGUAGCGGUGGAAUGCGCAGAUAUCAGGAGGAACACCGAUGGCGAAGGCAGGUCUCUGGGCAUUAACUGACGCUGAGGAGCGAAAGCAUGGGGAGCGAACAGG
rnacentral:rRNA from 1 species